rnacentral:rRNA from 1 species
CGGUCGCGUAACACGUGGGCAACCUGCCCUGAAGCGGGGGACAACAAUCCGAAAGGGUUGCUAAUACCGCAUGUGAACUUUUGUGGCAUCACGAAACGUUCAAAGCUUUAUGCACUUCAGGAUGGGCCCGCGGCCUAUCAGCUUGUUGGUGGGGUAACGGGCCUACCAAGGCUUCGACGGGUAGCUGGUCUGAGAGGACGAUCAGCCGGAUUGGGACUGAGAUACGGCCCAG